rnacentral:lncRNA from 1 species
UGUUUUUUUUUUUCUUGUUUUGUAAAUUAAAGCGGACCAACUCCUGAGUCAAGGGGAAGUCUUGCAGGUUCUUUUGACUGUACCAGUAGUAUAGUCGACGGGUAUUCCUUCGGGCUCUCAUUGGUUGGUUCAAUGCGUGCAUCCUCACGGGCCACCGGCAGUGAACCUGCUCUUCACUAGCUAGCGCGGGUUUGGCGUUGCAGACACGGCACAUGUGGCCACAGUUGCCCAAGAUCGCUCUGCUAUGCAGAAGACACAGGCACGGAGGCAGAGUCUUGAUCGGUGAAAGUGCAUGCCGCUGCAGCACCGAGCACUACAUGGCAUGGACCACCCGCCUGAGGAUCAUGUGCAUGUCCAGACGUCAUGGCUAAGCGAGUAAAGAUCAAACGACAUGAUGCGUUAGUAGGAAGCCAAGUAUAGCACAUAUAUUCAACAGGAAAACUGAUUUUCUGGUAUAUAUAUCAGACUGACAAAUUGACCCAGUAUAUGAGAUUCAAAUUAAUGGUGAUAUGUUGUCUAAAAAAUCAUUGGUGGUCUCAUUUGUUCGUCAGAUAACUAAUUAAUGACACACACCGUAACUUUCUUCCUGUAUGAUUGGUAGACCUUAAAUUCAACUCUAAGCAGUUCAAUAUUUCUCAAUGAUUCAUGUUUAAUCUGUGUGCUACGCAUGCAAGCUUAGCAUGUUUAGUUGCCCAUGAUAAAGCAGAAGUAUUUAUCCUGAUUAAAGACCAACAGGGCAUAAAAUUUCAGCACAAAGCAUAAUUAUUUAGAUUGAUUAAGAGCAACAGGUCAUAAAGCUCAGUGCUAAAGAGUAGCAGAAUGACAUCAAUUUUGCCAUAUACAGGGCUAAUAUAGAAUUCUCAAAGUACCUAUCGUUCGUACAAAGCAAUAAAAGUCUGAGAGAGCAUCCAGCAGUACUGAUGCAACAUAUUAUUCAGAGGUAGGCAUUACUACAAGUAGUGAACCAUCGAAUAGAAGUUCACUGAAACAGCGCCCAGGCGAUGCAAAGUCCAGCCACCAUUACAGCAGCUCAUUCAUCCAAAUAAUGACUUAUAUAAGCUAUUCUUACAUAGCAUAUUGGAAAAAGAGUACAAAACCCAUCAUGGAUAGAAAACUAAAAGUCAUCCUUAUAUGAUGUACCGGCAAAAUAAAGUACUUAGUGCAGCUUCGAUGGAGAUUUGGAUAGACAGCAUAGUCUGCCGUCGACCUCAAUUUAAUCAGAUGCCUAAAAGUAAGUACCGGAGAGUUACAUCGGUAGUUAUCAAAAAGAAUGGUCACCAAGACAAAAAAAAAAUGAUCUCCUAAGAGAAUGGUCUACCAACACGAUGAAACAAAUCAAUUUGAUAAUUAAUAUGUUAAUACAUAAAAUUAUCUCGUAAAGGACACCAUAACUGCAUCAACACACAAGGGAAAAUUAUGUCCUAAAAGCAUAAUGUACUCACAUUAAUUAUCAGUGCUCAAAAAUAUCAUAACAAACCUGAGCAACCCAAGCAGCGAACAAAAGCCAAUAGCAAAUGCUCACUGGUCACAACAAAAUGGGAAAUCAGAUGGGUCGACCCAUAUCACCAGUGAGGCUAACUAAAAGGAAACUAAAACCAUGCCUGAUCCAAGAUUUUGUGGUGAUACCAGUCAUUAGUAAAACCCAAAUAGUUUCCAAUUAUACAACUAAAGGAAACCACCCCCCGGGUGGUGCACUCUGCUUCUAUUCAUCUCUACUGGCUAGCUCUCUCCCUCUAUCUUUGUUAAGCAUUAGUAAAUAACUAAAUAUAGUAAAGGACAAAAUGACUUGGCAAAAGCAAUCCACACAACAAAAAGAGAGAUGCAAGGCAGCGAUAAUUACUUGUCGCAUUGUUCUUUCGAAACUAUACAUAUCUGUAAUGUUCUUUUGAAACUAUACAUAUCUGUACCAGUUGACCAUGACCGCACAAAUCUACACGACAACAUGUUUUGAAAACAUAUCCUGAAGGGAAGAUGGGCUGCAUGAAAAAAGCAGGCCCAAUUAUCCAUGGACAGCAGGAUUGUACAACAUGCUAAACUACAAUAAAAUGGAAUAUUUAAGUUACAUCGCAAUCUGUAUAAAUGUGCAAGAAACAUUUUUUUCCUACAUAGUUUUAUAUGUAUUGUCCAUCUCCCUCCAAUAUUCAGUACCAAGCAGGCUAUAAAUGUCAUGGGUAGGAUACAAUCUAUUACUCUGUUUUCGAUAAGCUCUUUACACAUAUUAGUAUGUUAGAACAAGGUAACAAGCUAAAAAAUAUUCUUAAAAUGACAUGAAGUUUUUAAACAAAUCGUCAUCAAAUGGAAAUUAUUUGCAUACUGGAAGAUAUAUUGAGCCUUACCUCCAAUAUAAAGAAAAAUAGAGAAUAAACUUCUGACACUUUAUUAGGCUGACGACCUUAUACAACAAGUGGUCUGAAGUUACUCUGUUACCAAUCUCCCGAUUGAAAAUGCCAUGAAGAAGAAGUGUCUGUGAAGAAGUGAUGAAACUUGUUCCCACAAGAAUAUAUGUACAUUUGAAAUAUAUUAAAUUGGUGGUAGCUAAGUCAUUGACAAUUUUGUGGUUCAAAAUAAUAGUAUAAUCACAAUGCCCUAUAAGCUACCAAUUCAGCAGCCUGAACCCUGGCAGUUGUUUCUCUUCGCUCGAUCUUCUAAGUAGGUUAAAAAGCUAUUGUUUCCAUAAAUAUUUGAAUCACAGCCACCAUGGCCCAGAUAUAAAUAUGACCCAUUGACUUUGUUUUUGUUCUGGUCGCUAGCAAGCAAAACUCCACUGGCUGUAUUCCCAUUGGUGGCAAGAUAAUGGAUGGAGCGGAUGCAUAACCACUCGACCAACUGCCAUUUGACGAUUAGUAACAACAGUUAGCUUUAUAUAACAUGCACAGUACUAAUUAAAGUAGAAAUUAAAAUGAAAAAAGAGUGUGCAAAAAAGGGAUAGCCGCAUGUGCAAUUAAAGAGAUAUACACAAUUUAUUUUUUGUUUUCCUUUUCUUUUUUCCUAUGUAAGAAAACAACUUAUAUUCUAAAUAAACUUUUCGGACAAAUCGACUAAAUUUUUGUUUAAAUUCGAAUAAUUUUAAAUUUGAAAAUCUACAUAAAAGGAAAUUUGGUGCAGAAUGAAUAUAUGUAAAGUUUUCGAACAAAUCAACUAAAUUUGGUUUGAAAUCAAAUAAUUUUAACUUAAAAAAUAUAGUGCAGAGUGAAUGCACAUAAGUUCCUUUGGACAAAACGACGAAAUUUUUGUUUGAAUUUGAAUAAUUUUAAAUUAAAAAUCUAGAUAAAAGGAAAUAUAGUGCAGAACCAAUGUACAUAAAUUUUUCAGACAAAUCAACUAAAUUUUUGUUUCAAAUCCACUAAUUUUAACUUAGAAAAUCUUGUACAGAAUGAAUGAAGAUAAAUUCUUUUGGACAAAUGAAUGAAAUUUUUGUUUGAAUUCGAAUAAUUUAAACAUGAAAAAUCUGGAUAAAUAAAAUAUAGGUCAGGAUGAAUGUAUGUAAUUUUUUUAGACAAAGCAGCUAUUUUUUUUAUUCGGAUAAUGUUGGCAUUGGCCUGGUUGGAUCGUGCUAGGCACCUGCUUCGUGUUCGCAUCCAGGGGUGUGUAGCGAUCAUGUUGCAUGUACUUUCCUCUCAUGGUACCAUAAUCUACCACGGAUACAUCCUAAAGUACAGAUCGACUCUACUCCGCCAUUGUCGUGAUGAUAAGACAGGUGUGAUGGCACGGAAGGGCUGUCCGUGAAGACCAAAUUAAAAAAAAAAAUGGAUGGAUCUUCGCCUGCUAUGAUAUGCUGGAUAUGUGCCAGUGAAGUUGUUGAUGACCUAGUGUGAGGCCGUCAUGGUCUACCAAGGCAUGCCCGACUAGCGAGAAAUGCCCGGGUAGCUGUGGCAUCGUCGUACGAUAGAGUGAACUUUUUUUUGCCAUGAAUAAUGAGAAGAGUUGUUGUCCGUCUUAUCCUGCGCCAGGCCGGCGAGCAUGAUCCAAUAGGUGACCGCCUCAGCGAUCAUGAUCUAAUAAGUAGAGACUCCUCUAUCUCACCAAGAAGUUUCCCUUGUAAUACAGGUCAGUCGAGGCAGCUCUCCCAAAUGACACUUGGAUAACUGAUCUAGCGCAUGGCAACAUACAGCCGUUGUGGGCAGAGGUGCUGCGCCUCCGAAGAUGGUUGCCGCCCAAAAACAUUCAGCUAAACGAGAACUGCCGCGACGCGAUCAGAUGGAAACACGAGGUUUCAGGCGUCGCGUCUACACCACUACUAUGCAUACAACUGUCAGUUUCAAGGGUUUGAUCAAGUCACGGCUCAGGAAGCUGUUCUGGCAGGCUUGGGCGCCGGGACGGCUGAAUUAUUUUUGUCUGGCUCCUGCACAAAAAUCGACUUUGGUGCAACGACCGUAUGCAAACAAGAGGUUGGCCAAAUGGCUACUUGUGGCAGAUGUGCCUACGUAACCUGGAAUCCGCCGAACACCGCUUCUAGAAUUGCAACAUCUCCUACUCUGUUUGGCUCACAUCAGCGCAAUGUGGAUGCACUUCUUUACAUCCAGAUACAUGGAAGAAGAGCAAGAAGAAGAAAAAAUAAAGAGCAAGAAGAGCACAGAAAUCAUCACGUCCAUGAUCGACGGAGCUAGGCCGGAGUUCCUUCUGUCCGUCUUACGGGAGAUUUGGCAGGAGAGAAACAAAAGCACUUUCAGAGGAAAAAUUGAAUCCUCGACUGCAAUUGUCAGGAGAACGCUGGAGUGAUGGAGGCAGGCAGGAGCAGCAAAAUUAGAGCACCCUUUUGGGGAUCCACCGUGAGAAUAAUCAAAUCAGGACUGAUGCCUGUACUCUUUUGUACUCCCUCCGUGAAGAAAUAUAAGAGCGUUUAUUUACCCUUGAUACUUGGGUCACCUGACAUUCGACCUUUGUAUUCCCGUAUGCUUCCUGCUAAUAUCAAUAUAAGCCAGCCAUCAGCUGGAUCUUUAAAAAAAUAUCUGAUGACCAAAUAGCUCGGGAUAACAGAAGCAUGUGCCAGGGCAGCAAAAUCCACAUUGCUCAAGGGUUCAAAUUACAGAGACAACCGCGCCCGCUUACACAACUGUUAAAAUUUGUUCUUUUCAUAACGCGCAUACAACACGUUUUUGCACAGCAAUAUCGCUAGUACAUGGAUGUCAUGAUCUUACAUGUCAAACAUACCAAGUCCACCACAUGAGUAUCCUACUCACACAUUGCUUUGCUUGUACAGCUUCGUGUCCAGCACUUGCUUGCCACACAUCGCACACACCCCUGAAA